AGUGGCGGACGGGUGAGUAACGCGUGAGAAUCUGCCUUGGGGUCGGGGACAACCACUGGAAACGGUGGCUAAUACCGGAUAAGCCGAUUGGUGAAAGAUUUAUUGCCCGAAGAGGAGCUCGCGUCUGAUUAGCUAGUUGGUGAGGUAAGAGCUCACCAAGGCAGCGAUCAGUAGCUGGUCUGAGAGGACGAUCAGCCACACUGGGACUGAGACACGGCCCAGACUCCUACGGGAGGCAGCAGUGGGGAAUUUUCCGCAAUGGGCGAAAGCCUGACGGAGCAAGACCGCGUGAGGGAGGAAGGCUCUUGGGUUGUAAACCCCUUUUCUCAGGGAAGAAGCUCUGACGGUACCUGAGGAAUCAGCCUCGGCUAACUCCGUGCCAGCAGCCGCGGUAAUACGGAGGAGGCAAGCGUUAUCCGGAAUUAUUGGGCGUAAAGCGUCCGCAGGUGGCGAUUCAAGUCUGCUGUCAAAGCACGGGGCUUAACUCCGUAAAGGCAGUGGAAACUGAAUAGCUAGAGUGCCGUAGGGGUAGAGGGAAUUCCCGGUGUAGCGGUGAAAUGCGUAGAGAUCGGGAAGAACAUCGGUGGCGAAAGCGCUCUACUGGACGGCAACUGACACUCAGGGACGAAAGCUAGGGGAGCGAAUGGGAUUAGAUACCCC
rnacentral:rRNA from 1 species